UACGGAGGGAGCUAGCGUUGUUCGGAAUUACUGGGCGUAAAGCGCGCGUAGGCGGCUUUGUAAGUUAGAGGUGAAAGCCCGGGGCUCAACCCCCGGAAUUGCCUUUAAGACUGCAUCGCUAGAAUCCGGGAGAGGUGAGUGGAAUUCCGAGUGUAGAGGUGAAAUUCGUAGAUAUUCGGAAGAACACCAGUGGCGAAGGCGGCUCACUGGACCGGUAUUGACGCUGAGGUGCGAAAAGCGUGGGGGAGCAAACAGG
rnacentral:rRNA from 1 species